rnacentral:misc_RNA from 1 species
CUGGACGCGAAGCGGCAAAAAUCAAAUAUCCGAAAAGAAAACAGAAAACAUUUCAAAUAUAUUCAAGUCGACAACAAACAGACACAUUUGACGCGUUGCGUAUACGCCACAUUUGCCUAGGCAACAGUGAGAAGACUCGCGCGUGAUUUUCCGUGAACCGGCAAAUAGCAAAUUCAAGUCCAACCAAGUGCCGGAGCGUGCUCGAGUGCGGAUCCGCAAAAACGUUACGGUCUACGGUUGCGUUUGCGUUUGCGUCUGCGGUUCCGUUUUUGUUGACAUUUUUGUGACGCGUCGUUUGGCACGAAACGAAAACUAAGCAUAAAAAAAAAGAGCAGGAACUUUUGGCUUUCCCUUUUGUUCAACUGUCUGGGCCAGGCUUUAGGCUUGAAGUGCAAGUUAAACAGGCAACAACUUAACCCCGAGGCCUCAAAUUAAAUCCAUUGUCAGCAGAGUCCAUGCAAUUAGCAAUGAGCCACAUAUUACAGGAAACUUUUUGAAUGCGAAAAACAUUAAAGAUACAGAUAAACUUGAGACGUGACUGCGCCCAGACGACGGAUAUGGCUGCUUAAGUGGCUCACUUCCGGUGAAUCCGGACAGGAAUAAGCAACAACAACCAACUCGAGCACAGACGCAGUUAUAGCCUUGGCCGCAUCCACAGCCAGCUCGGCCAGCUUAAUCUCAAUCUACAACUGAAAAGCGACUCAUUAGGUAUCCAAACAAAGUCCUUAAGCAUGGCCAAUGUAAGCAACGAGACGGUUAAUGCUUGGCUGGUCUCGGUCAGCACUCAGUUGCCGCAUGUACUGGGCAUAGAUGUGGGCGUCAAUUGGAGCAGCAGCAGCACGACCAGCACCACAACAAUGGCCAUACCCAGCAGCAGCAUGGGCACCACCACCACGGCAAGCACGGUGAGCAGCCUGUCCAGCGAUGCGAAUACGGACGCGGCCGCAGAUGCUGAUAAAUCGGGCAUUAUACACAAUCAGUUCGUGCAGAUCUUUUUCUAUGUACUGUACACCACAGUGUUUGUUCUGGGCGUAUUUGGCAAUGUGCUUGUCUGCUAUGUGGUGCUCAGGAAUCGUGCCAUGCAAACGGUAACCAAUAUAUUCAUUACCAAUCUGGCGCUAUCCGACAUUUUGCUUUGUGUGCUGGCCGUGCCCUUUACGCCAUUGUACACAUUUAUGGGUCGCUGGGCAUUUGGGCGCACUCUGUGCCAUCUGGUCUCCUUUGCCCAGGGCUGCAGCAUAUAUAUAUCGACGCUGACGCUGACCUCGAUUGCAAUCGAUCGCUAUUUUGUGAUCAUAUAUCCGUUCCAUCCGCGCAUGAAACUCUCCACAUGCAUUGGCAUCAUCGUGAGCAUUUGGGUGAUCGCACUGCUGGCAACUGUGCCCUACGGCAUGUACAUGAAGAUGACCAACGAGGUGAUGGAUAACACCACCCAGCUGGUUGGCGCCAAUCAGACAAGCAGCAGCCGGUAUGGCAAUUAUGGCCUUGCCACGCCCGACGCCACAUCGGCUGCCCAGGCCUACAUGCAGGUCAUGACCGACGGCGUCACUGUCUGCGAGGAGAACUGGCCAUCGGAGCAUUAUCGCAAGGUGUUUGGUGCCAUAACCACGACGCUGCAGUUUGUCUUACCAUUUUUCAUCAUAUCCAUUUGCUAUGUAUGGAUCUCGGUCAAGUUGAAUCAGCGUGCCAGAGCCAAGCCGGGCUCAAAGUCGUCGCGACGCGAGGAGGCGGAUCGGGAUCGCAAGAAGCGCACGAAUCGCAUGCUUAUCGCAAUGGUGGCAGUCUUUGGCCUCAGCUGGUUGCCCAUCAAUUUGGUGAACAUUUUUGAUGACUUCGAUGAUAAGUCCAACGAGUGGCGCCUCUAUAUGCUGUUCUUCUUUGUGGCCCACUCGAUUGCCAUGAGCUCCACCUGCUACAAUCCCUUUCUGUAUGCCUGGCUGAAUGAGAACUUCCGCAAGGAAUUCAAGCACGUGCUGCCCUGCUUCAAUCCAUCCAACAACAACAUCAUCAACAUCACCAGAGGCUACAAUCGCAGUGAUCGCAACACCUGCGGCCCGCGUCUGCAUCAUGGCAAUGGCGAGGGCGGCGCCGGUGGCAGUCUUGAUGCUGAUGAUCAGGACGAUAAUGGCAUCACACAGGAGACCUGCCUGCCCAAGGAGAAGCUGCUCAUCAUACCGCGCGAGCCCACCUAUGGCAAUGGCAACGGUGCCGUCUCCCCAAUACUCAGUGGGCGUGGCAUCAAUGCAGCCCUCCUGCAUGCCAGCCAGCCGCAGCAGCAACAGCAACAAGUCCAGCAGCAGCAAGUGGAGCUCACAAGACGCAUACGCCGACGCACAGACGACGACACCGAUUUUAUAGACUCCGGCGAUGAGCAGACGGUGGAGGUGCGCUUCAGCGAGACGCCGUUUGUCAGCUCCGACAAUACGACGGGCAUCAGCAUGCUGGAGACGAGCGAGAGCCAGUUCCAGGACUCAGGAGAGCUGCCCGAAUUGAGCGCUGUUGUGGUUGGAGAUGCCUCCAGGCGAUGUAACUGAGACAGGAUUUUCGAAACACAUUUCUAGGCGCAAUUGCUGGUCCUCGACAGUGGCAAGGAUAUCGACGACAACAAAGUGUAGGGGAAUGUGACAUAAACUACAAAGCUGAAAGUGCAAAGUUCUAGAGUAUGGGCGCAUGUUGGCGUGUGGGAGUGGCUGUUAGUCGUACUGUGUGGCACGAAAAGUGCUGAUAAAUGCCAAAUAAAGUGACAACGAUGCGAAUAUUGCCGCGCAGGGACGCCAGGGGGGGAGAGGAUGGAGCACAACAGUGCCCCAAGCAAUUGGCUGAAGCAGCUUCUCAAAUCGCUUGGUAUCAAAUUUCAUUCGCUGCGCCAUUUCGCAUAUUUGCGCAGCCUUGCAGGGAGUCGGGCGAAUCCAUUAAAACGCCGGCAUACUCCAUAUGGGUCGGCUAUAUGCGUCACCUCGAUUUCAAUUUCAAAAUUCUGCGUCUAACUGUCGCACAAAUGCUUCGCUUCACUCGGUUGUCGUUGGAAUUAAAUUUGUUGUGCCAAUUUUUGGUUCAAUUGCGCGGAAAAAUGUCAGCACAGCACCGCAACAAAAGGUAAAUGGCAGCAAAACAAAAGUAAAAUGCUGAAAACCAAAGAAAAUAAUUUACCCAACUAAAAAUAAAAAGAACAAAACUGGCAAACAAUAUUGUGCCAAAUAAAAUAAGCCUAAGCUGACAUUGAUGGGAUUUGUGUAGGCAACAGCAAGCCGAGCCAAAUAUUUGUCGAUCGACUGACAGCUGCUGGAAAACAAGUUAAGAGGCAGGAGUCAAAUUUUACCAAAUUGACGGAUGUUUCAAAGUUGUUUGCAUAGACAUUUUAUUGAAAUUUAGUUGGUGGCUCAAACCAGAGCUUAGACUAUUAGCCGGAUGAAGAGUGACAAGUUCUAAGCAAGUGAAAUCUAACUUCUUUGUGGCUCAGUUUUCCGGAAAAAUUCAAUUUCAAAACUGUCUUAAAUAAACCGGUCACACUCACGCUUAGGCGAAAAGCAAUGCAAGUGAAAAUGCUUAGAGAUAAAAUAAUUUGCUAGUCGUUACUUUGAUGUGAGUUUCAAUAUUAUAAAUUACGUGUUUAAGGCUUGACACUGUUUUAUGAAAAAACCAAUUAACGUAGAUAUUUAAGCCGCUUUAGAAAAACCAAAUCUGUUCGACACGCUUUCAAAGUGUUUUGACUGUAGAACUUAAUUUAGCAUAAAAGCAAAUGGAAAUUUAGUGUAACAAAUGCUGGGCAUGACGUGAAGCAAGGAGAGAAUAACUACAAAUAAAAAACAAAUAGAGCACACAAAAAUAGUAGAGAACCAAAAGUAUUCAAAGUCUUGUUGACCCUGAGCCCCACUUUUGAAAGUUUAUGUCAGGCGAUGUUGCCAGAGGAUGACACACUAUUAUUCUCUCAAAUCGUUUUGCUGCAACUCAAGCCAUGUGCUAUCCUGUAAAUUAAGCUUUCAAAAAAAUGUCAGCGAUUUUUGUGUACUUUUGGUUUGUCAUAUAUAAAAAGUUGCACUGCGUAUACGUAAUAUCUGUUAGUUGGUCUACGAAAAAAAA